rnacentral:tRNA from 1 species
GAGGGUGGAGCUCAGUGGUCGAGUGCAUGCUUAGCAUGCACAAGGUCCUGGGUUCAAUCCCCAGAACCUCCA